rnacentral:misc_RNA from 1 species
GAUGAAGAACGCAUCGAAAUGCGAUAAGUAGUGUGAAUUGCAGAAUUCAGUGAAUCAUCGAAUCUUUGAACGCACAUUGCGCCCCUUGGUAUUCCAUGGGGCAUGCCUGUUCGAGCGUCAUUUGUACCCUCAAGCUUUGCUUGGUGUUGGGUGUUUGUCCCGCGUUGCGCGUGGACUCGCCUUAAAGCGAUUGGCAGCCGGCAUAUUGGCCUUGGAGCGCAGCACAUUUUGCGCUUCUAGUCAUGAAUGUUGGCGUCCAUUAAGCCUAUACAUUUGCUCUUGACCUCGGAUCAGGUAGGGAUACCCGCUGAACUUAAGCAUAUCAAUAAGCGGAGGA